rnacentral:tRNA from 1 species
ACGAAGUUGGCGAAAUUGGCAGACGCAGUGGGUUUAGGUUCCAUGCCUUAGGGCACUAUCAGUUCGAGUCUGAUACUUCGUA